rfam:Camelus ferus unplaced genomic scaffold scaffold2127, whole genome shotgun sequence.
GAGGGUAUAGCUCAAGUGGUAGAGUGCAGGCCUAGCAUGCAUGAGGUCCUGGGUUCAAUCCCCACUACUUCCU